GAUGAAGGCAAUCAUUACAAAGGAAGAAGGGUUGGGAUUGGAAAUAUCAGAAACUCUGGCAUUCCCAAUGUUAACUAACUUAAACUUAAAUCAUUUGGAAAGUUUGAUGUGCUUCUCUUGCAAAAAGUGUUCACGAGAAGCUCGGAGUCAAGACCGCAUCAAGUCAUACUCCACUGCACUCUUUAGUAAAGAGGUUGCAUUUCCUAAAUUGGAGGCAUUAGAUAUCACUAGCUUGGACAAUAUUGAGAUGAUAUGGGA